GGAGGAAAAGAAACCAACUGGGAUUCCCCUAGUAACGGCGAGCGAACAGGGAAGAGUCCAGCGCCGAAUUCCGCGCUCUUUGCGGGCGUCGGAAAAUGUGGCGUUUAGGAGGAAGCGUGCCGGGAGUCUGACCUUGCAGCAAGUCCCCCUGACCGGGGCUGUUACCCAGAGUGGGUGCGAGGCCCAUAGCUGCUCGGUCUCUCUCGGAUGCGACCUCUUGGGAGUCGGGUUGCUUGGGAGUGCAACCCUAAUUGGGUGGUAAACUCCACCUAAGACUAAAUACGGCCGUGAGACCGAUAGCAAACAAGUACCGUGAGGGAAAGUUGCAAAGAACUUUGAAGAGAGAGUUCAAGAGUACGUGAAACUGCUCAGAGGCAAACGGGUGGGCCCUCGAAAUCCGUCGGCGGGGGAUUCAGUCGGGAAGUGUGGGCGCGUGCGUUGGUCGUUUCAUCUGACCCUUUCCUGGGCAGGACCGACGCCGUCGUCUCUCACGACCCGACGCACUUCCUCCCGCCCUAAGGACGCCGCAGCCGGUUGGGUAGCUGCGCGAGUCGGCCAUAAGGACUGGCAAGGAAGGUGGCCGGUGGCGUUCCUCGUGUUCGUCGCCGGUCGUUAUCCAGCUAGUCCGUGGCACGACACCCGACCGAGGUCGAUAGGUCCAGGUUAGGACCUUGCCGUCCCCUCCCACAUGGUUGAGCGGGCGCACCUACAGGCGAGUUCCCGUGCGGCAGUCCCACUCUCCGAGUGGUCGGCUCACGGGGUUCGCCGUUGGUGUGGAUGCGACCCGCGUGGGGUUUUCAGGCGGCUUGCGGCGAGUAGGUCGGUCACCCACCCGACCCGUCUUGAAACACGGACCAAGGAGUCUAACAUGUGCGCGAGUCACUGGGUCUCGUACAAGCCCAGAGGCGCAACGAAAGCAAGGGCCGGACUAGUGUCGGCCGAGCUGGGAUCCCCCUCCUCCACGGUGGGGGGCGCACCAGCGACCCGCCGUCUCCGAUUCAUCGGUCAGGCGGAGUCUGAGCACACACGUUGGGACCCGAAAGAUGGUGAACUAUGCCCGGGCGGGACGAAGCCAGAGGAAACUCUGGUGGAGGUCCGCAGCGGUUCUGACGUGCAAAUCGAUCGUCAGACCUGGGUUUAGGUGCGAAAGACUAAUCGAACCAUCUAGUAGCUGGUUCCCUCCGAAGUUUCCCUCAGGAUAGCUGGCGCCCGUCGGAAUCAGUCUCGUCCGGUAAAGCGAAUGAUUAGAGGCCUUGGGGCCGAAACGACCUCAACCUAUUCUCAAACUUAAAAUGGGCGAGAAGCACGUCCUGCGUGAACGAGGACCGUGCGUGACGGAUGAGGGUGCCCAGUGGGCCACUUUUGGUAAGCAGAACUGGCGCUGUGGGAUGAACCAAACGCCGGGUUAAGGCGUCGGAUGCGAGACGCUCAUGAGACCCCAUGAAAGGUGUUGGUUGCUCCAGACAGCCGGGCGGUGACCAUGGAAGUCGGGACCCGCUAAGGAGUGUGUAACAACUCACCGGCCGAAGCAACUAGCCCUGAAAAUGGAUGACGCUCCAGCGUCGAGCCCAUACCCGGCCGUCGCGGCAGCACUCCUCUAGUGGGAGGACUAGGCCGCGACGAGUAGGAGGGUCGCGGCGGCGAGCGUCGAAGGUGCCGGGCGUGAGCCCGCCUGGAGCCGCCGCCGGUGCAGAUCUUGGUGGUAGUAGCAAAUACUCAAGUGAGAACCUUGAGGACUGAAGUUGGAGAAGGGUUCCAUGUGAACAGCAGUUGAACAUGGGUCAGCCGGUCCUAAGGAAUCGGAGAAAUCCGUUCCGAGGCGGGACGUUGACUAACCAGAGUGAACACAGCUCGAACGCGUGUUUGUCCCGCCGCAGACCGAAAGGGAAUGGGGUCAAUAUUCCCCAGCCCGGACACGGAGACGGGGCCCUCGGGCCCGAGUGCGGCAACGCAACCGAACUCGGAGACGUCGACGGAGGACCCGGGGAAGAGUUGUCUUUUCUUUGUAAGAGUUCGUGUCCCUGGAAUCGGCUCGUCCGGAGAUAGGGACGCUGUCCUCGUAAAAGCUCCGCGGCUCUUGCGGAGUCCGGUGCGCCUCUGUCGGCCCUUGAAAAUCCGAGGGAGAGAGUGUGAUUUUCGUGCCGGUCCGUACCCAUAUCCGCAGCAGGUCUCCAAGGUGAACAGCCUCUAGUCGAUA
rnacentral:rRNA from 1 species